rnacentral:rRNA from 1 species
GGACUGCAGGCUGCAACUCGCCUGCACGAAGCCGGAGUUGCUAGUAAUCGCGGAUCAGAAUGCCGCGGUGAAUGCGUUCCCGGGUCUUGUACACACCGCCCGUCACACCAUGGAAGUUGGGGGUGCCCAAAGCCGGCAGGGAAAUAUGCUGUCUAAGGCAAAACCAAUGACUGGGGUGAAGUCGUAACAAGGUAUC